AGAGAAUAGAUACCCCGGUAGUCCACGCCCUAAACGAUGUCAACUGGCUUUGCGGAGUAUCGACCCUCUGCGAGGCGAAAGCUAACGCGUUAAGUUGACCGCCUGGGUAGUACGGCCGCAAGGCUAAAACUCAAAGGAAUAGACGGGGGCUUGCACAAGCGGUGGAGCGUGUGGCUUAAUUCGUCGCUAAGCGAAGAACCUUACCAGGGCUAGAAAUCCUACUGCACGCCUAUCGAAAGAUAGGAAGCCUUCGAGGGUGUAGGACAGGUGAUGCAUGGCUGUCGUCAGUUCGUGGUUUGAAUCGUUCCCUUCAGUGGGGUAACGAACGCAACCCUCGUUGCCAGUUACAAGUGUCUGGCGAGACUGCCCCCUCACGGGGGGAGGAAGGUGAGGAUGACGCCAAGUCAGCAUGUCCCUCUGAUGUCCUGGGCUGCACACGCGCUACAAUCGCCGUUACAAAGGGACGCAAUGUGGUAACACGGAGCAAAUCCUGAAAAGCGGCGCCAGUUCGGAUUGGGGGUCUGCAACCCGACCCCAUGAAGCCGGAA
rnacentral:rRNA from 1 species